rnacentral:lncRNA from 1 species
CCAAUACAUAUACCAGACACAAGCUGGUCAAGAGAAACAAAAUCAUCACCUAAACACCACCUACUACCACUAAGUACAUUGAAACUUGUUUAACUUAACUUGUACACUUUGCAAAACUGAUUUAUCAGCUCAAACAUACCUAAUUACAUCAAGUACAUUGACAACUUAGUUGAAAUCAAGCUAAGUAACAAAACAAACACUUGAAGUAACCAAAAUAAAUGAGCAGCAUGAACUUCAGCUGCAACUGCUUAUCUCGAGCAGCUUCUGUUGCUUCUAAUCAGCAUGUAGGCCAACUUCAUCAGGAGGAAAUCUGAGAGCUAGAAGACAAGCCCAAGGAAGAGGUUUUAGGCGAGGCUAACAACUCUAUUCUAGGUGUGGUAGAUGAAGAGAAGCUGUAUACACUACAAAGAAGUGUAGUGGGAUAGUGUAGAAGCUUCUUCAAGAUGGAGGUGUUAGCAAAUGAAAUUGCGUCCAAGGACAUCAGAGGUGCGACGAUAAUAAGAUAUUCGGGCUUUAUGGUUUUGUUGGUAUUUGAGAAUGAGAAAAAGAUGGAAUAUUUAAUGGCGAAACAAAUAGAGACGCUUGAUAAUUGGUUCUUGCGGUUGCAGCGAUGGUAAGAGAAAAUCAUAAUCAACAGUCAAAGAGCGUGGUUGGCCUGUAGAAGGAUUCCUAUCCAUGCAUGGAACAUGGUUGCUUUUCAGAAUAUUGGAGAGAGAUGAGGGGAAUUUAUAUUUGUUGAUAGUGGGACAUUAUAUCCCAGUUACUUCAUGAGGGCUAAUAUACAAAUUGUUAUGGAUAUUUCAUGAGGAAAAU